rnacentral:rRNA from 1 species
UACAGAGGGGGCAAGCGUUGUUCGGAAUUACUGGGCGUAAAGGGCGCGUAGGCGGCCUUCUAAGUCGAACGUGAAAUCCCCGGGCUCAACCCGGGAACUGCGUCCGAUACUGGAAGGCUUGAAUCAGGGAGAGGGAUGUGGAAUUCCAGGUGUAGCGGUGAAAUGUGUAGAGAUCGGGAGGAACACCGGUGGCGAAGGCGGGUCUCUGGGCAAUUCCUGACGCUGAGGCGCGAAAGCGUGGGGAGCAAACGGG